CAACCCUCAAGCUCAGCUUGGUAUUGGGCCUCGUCGGUAACACGACGGGCCUUAAAAUCAGUGGCGGCGCCGUUGGGUCCUGAACGUAGUAAUAUAUUUCGUUACGGGUGCCCCGCGUGCUUCUGCCAUUAAACCCCCAAUUUUCUAU
rnacentral:misc_RNA from 1 species